rnacentral:piRNA from 1 species
UAAAUAGGUGCUCUAGAGAUAGAUGCUGAGA